CCUGAGGUCCUGAAUCAGCAGAGCAGGAAGGAAAUCAAACGGCCACAGAUCUGUCAAAGAGGAAGGAGACAACUGGAAGGCAGAAUCCAUACCUAUCGGGACGGGUCUAAGAAGAAACUGCCUCGAGUCCCAUCAUCUGUGAAUAGAGGCAGAGACCCCGGAUCAAGGGUCCAGCAAUGCUGCUUCCUAAGAUCAAAUGACCCUGGGUGAGUCCUUUACCUCUCUCUGCUGUAGUUUCCCCAUCUGUAAAAUGGAAAUGAUAAAAUAGCCUUUCCCGUUGACUGUUGUGAGGAUCAUGGACAUCUGAGCUUAGCUAAAUUAAUAAUUAAUAUCAAACGAGCAAACCAACAAACAAAUCAGAAACACCUGCUAGCCUUUUUUUUGGCAUUUGCGAUGGAACCAAGAUUUCUUGCACAGGAAAAGGGCACCCAGAUCCUAUCGCCGAUGGACCUGAGGGCCACAAGCCAAAAUCCCAUAUCAGGUAACUCUUCAGUAGAAAGGGUCAAGGCUCCUCACAUUUUCUAUCUACAGCCCCGUUGUAUACCGAAGAUUCCCUGGAAACUGAUUUUCCAUUUUUAUAUAAAGUCCUGCAAACAAAGAACGCUCCCCGUUCAAAUACCUUGAGCCCAUUUCUUCUGCCGUUUCUGAUGCUAUAGGGUUAAUCCAGUAUGAAGAGAGUGACAAAGGGGGGGGCGGGGGGUUGGUUGGUUUUUGUUUUAUAGAUUCCACAUUCAUAACCAACUACUUGGCAACCGGCCCUCUCAUAUGUUGCAAAACAAAAAUGUGUUGCCUUCAGUGUGUUUUUAAUAGGCUAAGCAGUUUAUUUGAUCACAGAGCUUGGGUCUAGACUCACAAACACCAGAACUUUCCCACUGUGUUGUCACUGCUUUGGUUAGUAUCUUGGUUUCCCCUCUGUCUUUCUAAAGAACCAUUUGGGGACUCGGGAUACUGAUUCCUGGGAGCAGCUACGGGCCCUUGACCACGACCUACACUCUUCAAAGGAAUCCGCAUCCAGGCUUGCAAAAUACCGUGCGAAACUUGCAAAAAGUCACCAGUUUUAAAUUUUGAAAUUACUGGCACUGGCAGGCAUCAACCAUCGAGAAAUUCUCCUGAGUGGGGUAGAGCAAAUUUCUAGAAACAAAGUAAGCUUCGAUCUGUGCAGCUCUUUGUGGAAAUAUUUACGCCCAAAGAAAAGGGUCCCUUUCAGCUCUAGGAUGUUGUAAUACAAACAUUUACUAUAAAUGAAGUGCUUUGUGAAUACACUUGCCCAUUCCCUCAGAAAGCUUCUGGUACCUGAUUUUACCUAAACACCUCUUUUUGCUGCAUAGGUUUGGCGAAAAGGUAAAUAUCCCGUGAUUCACCUCACUAGAAAGGAACCAAAUGUAUAUUGGAUGUAAGUCAGUUUUAUUAAGGAGCCUCAAAGUAUUAACAACAAGAACAACAACAAAACUUAAAGACCCACAAGCCUGGUGAGCAGCUUUCACGGAACUCAGCGGUCCUCCUGAGAGCCACCACCUCGGGCCCUCGCGUAAUUGUGAACCCUGGUGUCCUGGAAGUCAGCAGCAGGGUCAACAGGUGAUUUAGCAAUCGUUAUUAAAGUCCCGACUUGCACACAGUUGGAUUCUGUUUCAAUGUAGCCUCAUUAUUUUUCUCAGGCCCUUGUACCACGUCUGCUCACCUGAUUUAUUUAUUUUUUAUAUUUUAUGUUUUUUAUUUAUUUUUGAGAGACAGAGAGAGACAGCGUGAG
ensembl:lncRNA